CGGACGGGAGACGGCAGCACCGGCAGGGGCCCGAAGGAACCCCCUCCCCAGGCCCGUUUUACCCCCGCAGUUUUCCCCUUCCUUUCCACAUCCCCACCCCGGUUUUACAGGCGAGGACGCGGCUGUCAUCGCGCUGCGGUGGGAGAAGGAAGAGUCCACCUGGGAAGGCGGGGUGUGCCGUGUUUUUGAGCGUGCGGCCAUCCCGUCGGUGCCUGGCACCUUUGUUUCUCCUCCUCUAGGUGCUGGGGUUUGAUUCGGCGCCCAAGUGUCAGCGGCACGGAUCCUUGUGCAGCUGCCGGUGAGCUCGCGCUGGACCCAAAAAUUUCAUUGAUGGCCGGAGAGCGGGACGUGGCUCAGCGAUGGAGCAAGGGGUGUUGCCACCCGUGUCUGAUCCCAAAAGUCUUGGACGAAGAUCGAUUGGGGAAGACCGCGGGAUUGGAACGUUUUUAGUCCAAAGCACAUGGGCGUGGAAUAAAAGCCCCCUUUAACCAUUGUAGUU